CCUCCACCGCCACUCAGAGGCAGCCUGAGAAUUCUGGGAGAAGGCUAGCUAGACCGUGAAUACGACAAAGGCAGCAGCAAUAUCGUUAAGCUCCCUACCCUUCCUCGAAUCUGGUUUUUUUUUUUCCCAGCGUAUCUCAGGCGUGCUUGAGAUGAAGUCCAGAGGAGUGCACGUGAAGGUGGACACGGAACUGUAGUGCUGGUCAUCCCUCUGCACUGGACUGGAUUCUGCCAAAGUCAACUAAAUUUGCUGUGGUCAGUGUG
rnacentral:lncRNA from 13 species